ACGGGAGGCAGCAGUGAGGAAUAUUGGUCAAUGGACGGGAGUCUGAACCAGCCAAGUAGCGUGAGGGAUGACGGCCAUAUGGUUGUAAACCUCUUUUGCGAGGGAAUAAAGUGCGUCACGUGUGGUGCAUUGCAUGUACCUUGCGAAUAAGGAUCGGCUAACUCCGUGCCAGCAGCCGCGGUAAUACGGAGGAUCCGAGCGUUAUCCGGAUUUAUUGGGUUUAAAGGGUGCGCAGGCGGCCCGUUAAGUCAGCGGUGAAAUGUCGGGGCUCAACCCGGGCACUGCCGUUGAAACUGGGGGGCUUGAGUACGGAUGAGGUCGGCGGAAUGUGACGUGUAGCGGUGAAAUGCAUAGAUAUGUCACAGAACACCGAUUGCGAAGGCAGCCGGCCAAUCCGCAACUGACGCUCAUGCACGAAAGCGUGGGGAUCGAACAGGAUUAGAUACCCUGGUA
rnacentral:rRNA from 1 species